CAGGAGAAGGCCGAAAAUCCUAAGAAGAGUAGGCA
ncrna:unclassified sequences DTF805b RNA